rnacentral:lncRNA from 1 species
UUUUCAGGUGUGGUAAUAAUUUUUGUGCUACUCAUCGUUAUGCAGAAUCCCAUGAAUGUACCUUUGAUUACAAAACAGAAGGAAGAAAGUUACUAGAGCAGAGUAAUCCAGUAGUUAGUGCUCCCAAAUUACCCAAAAUUUAACUCAGGAUUGAUAUUAGCUCUUCAUUUUAUAAACAGUGCUUAACCACAAAACCAUAUCGUGGCAUACACAAUAUGGAUUAGUUGUUGAAAUAUUUUGUUUUUGGAGUGAUUAAAGUGUUGUUGUUCAGGACUGUGAUAGAAUAAAUACUGUAGUUCAGUCUUUCAUUUUCAUCUCUUAUAAAGGGAAACAUUUUAUCUGAUAAAUCAUUAUUUUAUUCAAUAUUGACUUUUUUUGUUUAAUGAAAACUUGAUUGUUUUAACCCUAUUUGUUUUAAAAAUACAAAUUUUUUGCUUUGCUUUAUGAAUUUUUAUAAUUGUUGAAUAAGUUUUAGACUUAGAAAAAUACAAUAUUAUUUUUAAAGAAAAAUCUUAUUUUAUUUACAAGGUGAUAAAUACAAGUUACUAUUGUAUUAUGUUAUGUUAUGUGAUAGAAAUUUUAUAACCUCAUUAAAUUUCAGGAGAUAAUGAACAGUUUUGUUAGAGAAUGAAAACCUCUUUAAAAUUCUUGCCUUUUUCUAGGUUUCAAAACGUGUUUUACUGCCUGAAAAAUGAUAUAAUCAGUUUAUAUUUAUACAUUUAUAGGUUUUAUAAGCAGUAUGUACAUUUUAUAAGGAGAUUUUAACCAUACAACUUUUAUUUUCUGUAUUUAAAAAUAUUAUACAGUUAUUGUAAAAUUGAAUUUUCAAGAUAAUUUUGAUCAGUUAUUUGACUUUAUCAGAAAUUUAGGUUAGAAAAUGCUAAUCUUGAUAAGAAUUUGCAGAUAAUGAUAAUUUGUGAUGAGUGUGUUCAUUUAUACAUGUAGAUUGGAAAGGAUAUAUGAGAUUAUUUUACUCUAGCCAAAAUGUUUGCUGAUCAUGGUUUAAUUCUAUCCAAUCUUUUUCAUAAUGACACAAGCAAAAUUAGUGUUGCAUGAUGAAUGGGCAGUUCAAAAAAUGAAGUGGUAUAUCAAAAUAAUUUUAUUUAAGGGUGUUGUUUGAGAAAAAUAUUUCUUGUUUGACAUUCAAAGAUUUUAUAUAAAAUAUAAGAAAUAAAACAGAUGAUUUAAGAAAAUUGAGAUAUAAGUUAGAAAUUAUAAAAUAUUUAUUGGGUUUGGUCAAAUUAAUUGUGUUCAAAAAUAGGGGUACAGUACAUGAUAAUGUUUUGAAAUGUACAUACUGCUGCUGAAUUAUAUAGCAAUAUAUAUUUUUAAAACAUAAUUUACAAGAAAUACUAAAUAUUUAAUGAUAAAAUUUCUAGCAUUGCAAAUAUGUGCAAAAUUAAUUACAAAAACAUAUAUGAUGAUAGCUUUCAUUUGAAUUUAUUUUGAAUGUUAUAUUAUAUUGUGUUGCUCAGAAGGCAGGCUAUCUUCAAACAUUCCAAUAUACAUGUCUAACCAUAUUAUAUUGAGUCUAAGAUUUAUUGUCCAUCACUAUGUUUCUUUCAUAUUCUUGUUAUAUAUAAGGGUAGCUUUAAUGAAAUUAGACUAUUUUGUGGUGCAAAUAUUAACAUUUUCAUGUUUAUAACAAAUGGCAAACCUAAACUUUUUCUGUGAUCAAACUUGUUUACAUUUUUGUUGCACUUAAGUUUUUUUUGUUUUUUUCUGAAUAAUUUUCAGUUUUGUGAAUUUUUCCUCGAAUUAGAAUAUUUCAUUUAUUUUAAUAGCAAUGCUUUAAAUAGAUUUACACAAUUUUUAUAGAUCAUAACAUGAAAUUUUGGUAUGUUAUUUAUUAAUUAUAAAUUGAUAUAGAAUAUUAGAGCCAUAUCUUAUAUGGAAUUUCAAAAAUGAAUAUAAUUGUCUUAAGAUCGUGAACUAUAAUUUUUCAUUUUUGUAAUUCCAAUGGUGCUAUAUCAAGUAAUCUACUUAUUUUUUGAUUUGAGGAAUAAUUUGUUGAUAUAUUAAUAGGUAGCUGAUGUGUUCCUAUGUUAGGGGCUGUUCUGUAUGCUAGUAUGACAUGAUUGGAUGGCUGAGAUUUUGUUGUUUUAGUUUGUGUAUGUCUGUUGUUACUGUUAUGACCACAUUAAUCAUGUUCAGACAACUGUUUAAGUUAGGUGCUACAAAAUUAUGCUAUAAAUAAUUUUACAUUUUUUUGACAGAUAUUAGAUUCAGUAUACUAAAAAAUACAAUUAAACAGUGUAAACUUCAUUUUAAUUGAUUUAUUAGGCCUAAAAUAAAAUAUUGUUUGUUUCCCCAAUCCCGACCGACCCUGCAAAAAUGGUGCUAUUCAUGAAAUUUUAUUGUCAAAAGUAAGUCAAAUAUUAUUUUAUUCAUUUCUGAUUUUCAGGCUUGCUGGAUCGUCCGAUAAUGUUCAAGCUUUUCGGAAAAUAAAAUUAUUUCCCUACCUACCUACCCACACCUGGCUCGGCAGGGUCGGGAUUGGGGAAACAAACAAUAUAUUAAUCUAGGCCUUAUCUGUUUGUUAUUGGUCAAAGGGAAAUAACUCAUGCAACUUAAAAACAUGAGAAAAUUUAUGAAAUUAUGAAUAAUCAUAAUAAAAAUCAUUUGUUAGCUGUAUUUUGUAGCAUCCUAACCAUUACAACAGUAAAUUAUACUCUCUCUCAUUGUGAGUUAAUAAUGCAGUGAUUGUAAAUUGUGCACUGAUAACUGAGUGUGAAUAAAUAAAUUCUUUAAUUUGUAAUGGUUGUUACUUUAUUG